rnacentral:rRNA from 1 species
UAGUUGGUGGGGUAAAGGCCUACCAAGGCGACGAUCUGUAGCGGGUCUGAGAGGAUGAUCCGCCACACUGGGACUGAGACACGGCCCAGACUCCUACGGGAGGCAGCAGUGGGGAAUAUUGGACAAUGGGCGGAAGCCUGAUCCAGCCAUGCCGCGUGUGUGAAGAAGGCCUUUUGGUUGUAAAGCACUUUAAGCGAGGAGGAGGCUACCUGGAUUAAUACUCUGGGAUAGUGGACGUUACUCGCAGAAUAAGCACCGGCUAACUCUGUGCCAGCAGCCGCGGUAAUACAGAGGGUGCGAGCGUUAAUCGGAUUUACUGGGCGUAAAGCGUGCGUAGGCGGCUGAUUAAGUCGGAUGUGAAAUCCCUGAGCUUAACUUAGGAAUUGCAUUCGAUACUGGUCAGCUAGAGUAUGGGAGAGGAUGGUAGAAUUCCAGGUGUAGCGGUGAAAUGCGUAGAGAUCUGGAGGAAUACCGAUGGCGAAGGCAGCCAUCUGGCCUAAUACUGACGCUGAGGUACGAAAGCAUGGGGAGCAAACAGGAUUAGAUACCCUGGUAGUCCAUGCCGUAAACGAUGUCUACUAGCCGUUGGGGCCUUUGAG